GUCCAGUGCCUAGAAGAGUGCCUGGCUUAUUGUAAGUACUCUAUACAUUUUUGUUGAGUGAAUGAAUGAAUGAACAAAUGAAUGAAACUCCCCUGCCAACUACUCCCUCUCAGAGCUUCUGUCACCCUCUGUCGACACCACCACAAUUGCCUUAGUUUGAGAAGUGGUUAUUAAGUACUAGACACUGAACCAGGUACAAAGGAUACUGGCAUGAAUGUUACACAGUUCCCUGUGUCAAAAAGCUCACUUUUGAGAAGUGGUUAGGCACAACUAAAACAAAAUAACACAAUAACUUUAAUGAAGGAGGUUUGUUAGAGUGCCUUGGGAGAAUUGAUAGGAGAGCAGGACACAUUUGCAAUGCGCCCCAGGGGUAGUAGAAGUUCCUUGUGCUCAGGGCACAGGCUGUUUCAGUCCUGGUGGAGGAGAGAGCACGGAGGGGGAGUGGCUGAGGUUCCACACUGAAGGCAGCACCUUUUCAGGAUUGUGAAGACAAUCACGGGCCCACCCGAGGAGUUUAGACGCUAUUCUGCAGGCAAAAGAUGCUUUAAAGCAUUUCAAAUUGGGAGUCCCAGGAAGAGAAUGAUGUCAUAGAAAGCUACUCUGACAUCACUACGGGGAAUAGGUUGGCAUGAGGAUCAGCUGGGUUUAUACAGCAGCCUAGAGGAAAGGAGAUGGGAGCCUAAGAACACAGAGCUGAAUGGAGCUGCUUCAGCAACACACAGUGUGGCAGCUACCGGCAGGCAUGCAGAGAAGAAGGCUCCGAGGUUCAAAAUGCAGAGACAUCUAUGGACUGGUGUGAUGGGGAUCUGUGGCAGGAGGAGAGGGAUGGAAGAGAUGAAAAUAAUAGAAGUGCAGUUGCUGGAAAGAGGACCGAUGUGGAAAGGAGAAACGGUGGAGAAAAGAGAAACUGGAUAUCACUCCCUGAAGCAGGACAGGGAACUAAAAAGGAAAAGGAAACUAGUCUGGAUAGUAUACCCAUGAAGAUCCAUAAAAUAUACACAGAAAGCAGCUUCACGAAUGCCCAGCGGAGCACCAUACAUCUUGCUCCAUGCAGCUCACCUCUUGAAAAAGAAAUGGGUAUUUGAGAAUCUCACUCUACUGAGGGAGUAACCUUAUUAAAGUGCUUUAAUAACACAACAGUCAUCGCAUUAUGCCUGGUUUUGUCCACUUGUGAUUCUCAUGGAAUACAUAAUGAAUAAGACAAUGCCCCAUUCCCAGUAUUCUUGCAUAAGCAGGAGGAUAUUUCUAAUUAAAACGGCAGAGUUAGCGCAGCACAUGAAAUGAACAGAACCAUAUCUCCAGAAAUGCUGAGAUUUUACUAUUUGCAUUAAGUAACGCUUGUAUUUCUCUCUGAAUCUAGCCCAAUACCCAUUACCAAUAAGAUGAAGAUUUAAGAUAACUUGGUCAAAAGAUGGUGAAUUACAACUUUUAAUUAAAAUGUAGAAAAUAGUUGCUUUAAAAUAAACAUGAUAAUACUUUCAUGAUCAUUAAUUUUUUAUGGAGAGAACAACAAAAGCGACCUGAAUAUUUUAGAAUGUGAUAUUAUGAAGUCAGGCAAAGGGGGGUUUUAGAAACUUAUGGAUGUCCCAGAGAGAAGACGACCAUGCAGUUGCUACUCUCCAUUUCCUGUCCCCUUGGAAACCCCGCAGAAUGCAACCUACACAUCUGGAUCCAUAGUGGUUUCUUUACUUGACCACAUACUCUGAUAAAGGCGGUGAGGACCCGGAUGGUAAGACGGCAAGGCAAGCUUUGGGGUUUACAUGGCAUAUUUAUACCAAAGAGCAAUUCAAUAAAUGUUUAUGGAUAAUAAGAGAGGAGCUGAUUUCUUAAAGUGACCUAUAAAUCUUAACAAUAAAAAUGAUUUUAAUAAAUCCAAAAUAGAGUUUAAAUAUUAAUGAUACUAUGUUCUAACAAUAUGAUUGAAAGACUGGUGAUUUUGUGUGUGUGUGUGUGUGUGUGUGCUGUGGUUCCCUUCACCAAAAUCAGUUCAUGUUCAUGCAGACCUAGCUUUACACUUCCUAACAUUAUCAAUAACAAUUUCCCUACAAUGUCCUGUUACCAUUAAGUCUUCUCUGACUGAAUAUAUGUGUAGAGUCUUUUCUCCAUUAUUGGAUUCAUGCUGAUUCCUUCCAGGAAAGACCCUGAUUUCUCCCUGCCCACAUCCUCUCUAUCUUGAUCAGCUCAAGCCCGCCUCUUCCAGGAAGCCUUCCCUGACCUCUCUAGCCUAAGGCCUGGCUUCAAAAAUCUAAAUCUACCACUAAAUACUUAGGUGAACCAUGGUGAGAGCCACAGGGAAGCCAGGACUGUUCACCUUCUGGCAGGUCAGGCAUUCUUUGGGGUCAGUUGUGUUCUUCAUCUGUAAAAUAAGGAAAUAAUCACAUCUGCCUUAUAAGUCUAUUGUGAUAAUUAUAUGAAAAACACAUUUUUAAAAGCAUCUGGAACAGCUUAGUUUCAUAAUCGAUGUUAGUUCUCCUUCUUUUUCUCUUGCCUUACCUUUUGAAUUCAGAGACAUUUCUGCCUAAGCCAUUCAGAUGAUAUAAUUUACCUUCCUGUGACUUUCCACUUUUUUGUUUUGUAGGCCUUCAUGUUCCCUCAUCUCUCCCGAUCAAGUCUACGAUCCCUCAAAGGAAGAGUGCCCUUAUUUAUGGAUCACCAUAUUCCCUGUCUCAUCUAGCAUAGUUCUAUAUGCACAAUUAGGAUCAGUAACUAUUUAUUAGAAAAAUGAACAUUAGUCACUUCUCUAAUGUUUAGAAAAAAAAUUUCAUUUUUGUAAAAUAAAAGCCCCAAAUUCUCAACAAAGUACUCUGUCUUUGCAUCCUCUGGUAUAUUGCAUAUGACUGAAUUUGAGGCAUCAAACUAUCUAUUUUCAGGUUAUUUCUCACCACCUGGGCUGGAUGGUUCCAUUAGAUGUUAUUAACUAAGCCAACAUUAUACAUUCAAGCCUCAUGUGGUGUGUUUGUUUCACAGAAAGAACUUUUUUAUGCCUAAGAACUGUAUUUUUAUACUUCUGGGAAAGCGUCGAAAAAUAAAGGGUGCUAACGACCCCAAGAUGGUCUUGGGAAGUGAGCAGUGAGAAUCAAAGCAAACGAGGAAAAAUAACAAUUAAGUCUCAUGCAGUACUGAUGGAAAGAAGAUGGUCUGUUGUCUUGGCAGUCAAAGGACAGUGCAUUUUAACAUUUGUCAUUUAGCUUACAAGCUUCUUCCCAUCAACGCAAUGGGGUGUGAUUGAUGCAUGAAGGUAGCAAAGCAGAGUGGUUAUUUUGGCUUCUGGUGCCAGAAGGCCUAACUCUGCUCUGUAACCUGAUCAUGUUACAUAGCCACACUAUGCCUCAGUUUCCUGACCUGUGAAACAGGGAGGAGAAUGACAGUUCCUGUCUCACAGCAUGGCCACAGGUGUAAAGAAGGGGGCGCGUGUAAAGCUCUCACAACACUGCCUGGGCCAGAACGAAGGCUAUGUGGGGACCCGCUAUUCACAUGGCAGGAUCUGAAAGACCUCAGGAAGACUCUGUGGCAGUGCUCAUUUCUCCUACGCAGCCCUCUGGCCUUUCCUAAUGAGCAGACCCCAACCGGCGUGUUGAGAAAUCCUGAUCUUGGACUCACUACCUGGGUGUUCCUUCCUCUCUGUCGGAGCGCGUAAAAGAAGUGCAGCAGAAGGAACAUUAUAGGCAGCAGUUCCCUGAGUCCUUUCUACAAUUGCUCUUACACUUUUAAAAGGAAAUCAGCGAAUGUGUGUCCCAUUUCUGUGAUGCCCAGUGCCUCGGAGGCUCUUGGUGCCGAUGCCCUUGGGUGGCACACCUGUGUUUAGAAAGCACCAAACUAUAAGCAAAGGCAGAGCUGCAAAAUGAAGAAAAAGCUCCCCUAAAGGUGGGGAAAGUUAAUGGGAUAAAGGAAAAUAGGGGGCCACACCACUUACAUAUCCUCAUCCCAGAAAUUACAACAAAGCAAGAGCAUUACACGCAUUAUGAAUCAACAGUCUGUAACAAAGUUGACAUUUUAGAAACUAAAACGGAAAGUUGCUGGUGUCUUCAGACGUUAUACAUCUGACUAGCAGUAGGGAAUGUAAUGAUUUUGCGAAUUACGCUGGGAGGUUGCUACAUCCUUAAAAGGUAGGCAGUCUUAUGUGUCAUCUGAUUUUGAUGCGAUUUCUAGAAAGAGAAAGGUAAGUUAAAAAUAGAGAUUCCAUUUUAAUGCAUGUUUACUCUUGCCUUUGUCUGGAGUCCAAAAACGACAACAUGUUCUUCCCAUUUACUGCGGCAGCAUUAUUUUUAUAUAAAGUUUGAAACCAUGUGUGCUGCCAAGGCACCCCUCCAAGAAGGUAAGCCCAGUAUCCCCAUCUAUCACAUACCCUUCUGACUUUUUUUACUUAAGGGCUUGUCAUUUCAGUGGGGGGAAAGACCCACCGAAUACCAGCCACGUGGAGUUUUAUUCCUUCAUGCUGCUUGUGAUAAACUUCAGGGAACAUAUUUAACAUGCAGCAAAAAAUGAAAUUUCUGGGGCCACCCCAGCAGGAGGAUAAUAUCACCACUCUUACGGCAGCACAGUUUUAAGACACUGCCAAACAGCCCAGGCACAGAAUGUGAUAAAAUGUAUAAUUUCUGGGGGUUGGGGUGGGGGUGGGUAAUUUCUGCAAGCUUCUAAGCCGCUCAGUGUUUAAUCUACUACUCAUCCCCCUUGCAAUUAUUAUUAUUAGUUUGUUGUUGGUAUUGUUAUUAUUGCUCUUUGUCUUCUGAGGAACAGUCUCCUCUGGGAAGACAGAAUUGUUCACCUUCAGGCAGGGCAGUCGUUCUUUUGGAUCACAGGGUAUCAUUUAGCCAGUUUCUCUGAGUUGCUAAAUUGCUGAGAAAACCAUGGGGGUUUGGGCUUCAUGCCUGAAGGAGGCACAGCUGGGGAUCGGCUCAGGGUGCACGCCCCCACCAUCCUCCUGUGUUCCUUUGGCCUCAUUCCCUACAACCUGGAAGAAGGAGCAAAGUUGCCAGAACCUGGCUUUGUCUCCAAAUUCACUUUAACUAUCAUUUCUGAGGACCUAAUCGGCCCCAGGUCUGUGCUUGGGACUGAUAAGAGAUAAGCGAUUCCAAUUUGGGGGAGCAAGUUGAGGUUGAGAGACAUUAUAUUCACACGCAUAUACACACACACACACACACACCCAUCGGGUCUUAAAGAGCAGCCGGUAGAAAUGUCCUCAAGUUCUCCUGUCCUUAGAAACGUGUCUGAACAUCCCUAGCAAAGCCCUAGGGAAUGUAUAGUUGCGGGGACAUUAACCAAGAUAUUUGGCCAUCUCACUUUUCUGCUGGAAGUAGGAGAUCAGGGACAAUGUUAAUCGCAAGAAAAUGAGCAAAGAAGCGGGUUUUAACUUUCAUGCUCUAACAGGGCAAGAGAGGGAGAUUACAAGGAAAGCACAAAGGCAAAUGCAUGAAGCUGUCUUCUGCCUCCCAAGGGAGGGAGAUGAGCAUCACAGGAUUUGCUGCAGAGGCCCACGGCCAGCACAAUCUAUUAAAUAGCUCAAGUUAGUCAAUGUGGAAGAAAUUUUUAGACACACAUGCCCAACCAUAUGUGCAUGGCCAAGAUUUAAAAUAGAAAAGUGAGAGACUGUUGGAUGACUGAGGAUUUUUCCCUUGCCAGGAAGUCCUCCUUAAGGAUUUCAUAGCUUGCAAAAGAGAAUUGCUUGCCAGACAAGCCAAGAAAAAGACACAGAAGAUUGGGACCUGCUUCCUUAAUGAUGAAAUGUCACACUGCUAUGUAAAUCAACCUGAAGAAAAGAGGCAGGCAUGAUUAAGAUGGCUUUGCAGAAACAAGAGAGGUUUCUUGACAUUGCCUCCCUAAACUGCUUUAAUUCCUCAAAUCUCAGGGCUAGAGGCACACACACAAUGGAAUCUUAUGGCGGUUGAAUUGAGCAAUAAGAGAACACCUGUGUUACAGGAUUUCUAUAUCCCAAUGAAAAAUUACACUCUGUGGCCACAACUAAUAAUGGGCAAAUUCCCUGUAUUGUUAAGUUUGUGGCAGACCACAGAGCUGCCUCACUGGGUUGCAGUGUGUUUUUUGAGUACGUGGAAUGAGACUAUGACAAAAUGAGAUGGAUCCCAUUGGCCACGUGAGCAUCAGUUUUAUUAUUUUUCAGUAAUACCAGAUAGAUGUUUUUUAAGGGACAUUUUACAACCAAACACCCACAUCAGGAAGCCUGUACCUCAGUUCUUCCCUCUGCCUCCCCUCCACCCUCUUUUCUCCUCCCCAGUCUUCCUGGGCCCAUAGGAAAGAACUUAGAUGGUGCAGCAUCAUUCUAUAGCAUGGUAUAAGAAACAUUGAUAUAGUUUAUCAUGGCCAAUGUUUGCAUAUAUAAUUACCCAAUAUGGGUAAUUAUGGCUGAAGACAUUUUUGUCAUUUGGGAGAAAAGGGUGGUUUGAGUACAGCAUAAAAAUAAAGCUAUCCUCUCACACCUUGGAAGCUUCCAUAUGUCAGGGCUCUGGCUCUAGGGUCAUUUGCUGUAAUUUAUGUGCUUCACAAGAAUUACAAUGAUAUCUUCCAUAACCCAGGAAGCUUCUUCCUAAAUUGUGCCAUCAAUUUUCAAUUCACUUAUAUUCCUAUAAUUUUAUAACUAGAGGGGGCUUUAGAAUUGAUUUAAUCCAAUUAUGUCAUUUUACAGAAGAGAAAGGUGAGGCCCUGAAAUGUUAAGUGAGUUGUUGUAUUA